rnacentral:misc_RNA from 1 species
AACGCACGAGACCUGCGGACCUGCGGAGGGAUCAUUACAGAGUUGCAAAACUCCCUAACCCUUGUGAACAUACCUGUACGUCGUUGCUUCGGCGGGUAGCCCCUUUACGGGGCCUCGACCUCCCAGCGAGGUUGCCCGCCGGAGGACCACACAAAACUCUUGAAUUAAUGGCUUCUCUGAGUAUUAAUCAAAUAAGUUAAAACUUUUAACAAUGGAUCUCU